UGCACACACUGCCCAGCGAUGCUUUGC
rnacentral:piRNA from 1 species